rnacentral:rRNA from 1 species
GACGAACGCUGGCGGCGUGCUUAACACAUGCAAGUCGAACGGAAAGGCCCUGCUUGCAGGGUACUCGAGUGGCGAACGGGUGAGUAACACGUGGGUGAUCUGCCCUGCACUUCGGGAUAAGCCUGGGAAACUGGGUCUAAUACCGGAUAGGAGCCAUUUUUAGUGUGAUGGUUGGAAAGUUUUUUUCGGUGUAGGAUGAGCUCGCGGCCUAUCAGCUUGUUGGUGGGGUAAUGGCCUACCAAGGCGGCGACGGGUAGCCGGCCUGAGAGGGUGGACGGCCACAUUGGGACUGAGAUACGGCCCAGACUCCUACGGGAGGCAGCAGUGGGGAAUAUUGCACAAUGGGCGCAAGCCUGAUGCAGCGACGCCGCGUGGGGGAUGACGGCCUUCGGGUUGCAAACUCCUUUCGCUAGGGACGAAGCUUUUUGUGACGGUACCUAGAUAAGAAGCACCGGCUAACUACGU